GUCGAGGGGCAGCACGGGUAGCAAUACCUGGUGGCGACCGGCGCAAGGGUGCGUAACGCGUGAGCAACAUGCCCUAUACAGGGGGAUAAUCCAGGGAAACUUGGUCUAAUAUCCCAUAGUAUUUAGAGGAGGCAUCUUCUAUAAAUUAAAGCUUCGGUGGUAUAGGAUUGGCUCGCGUGACAUUAGCUAGAUGGUGAAGUAACGGCCCACCAUGGCAAUGAUGUCUAGGGGUUCUGAGAGGAAGGCCCCCCACACUGGGACUGAGACACGGCCCAGACUCCUACGGGAGGCAGCAGUGAGGAAUAUUGGACAAUGGAUGGAAAUCUGAUCCAGCCAUGCCGCGUGCAGGAAGACAGCCCUAUGGGUUGUAAACUGCUUUUAUAUGGGAGCAAUAAGGUCUACGUGUAGACUGAUGAGAGUACCAUAUGAAUAAGCAUCGGCUAACUCCGUGCCAGCAGCCGCGGUAAUACGGAGGAUGCGAGCGUUAUCCGGAUUUAUUGGGUUUAAAGGGUGCGUAGGCGGCCGAGUAAGUCAGCGGUGAAAUUUUGCAGCUUAACUGUAACAGUGCCGUUGAUACUGCAUGGCUAGGAUUUGGUUGCUGUGGGUGGAAUGUGUGGUGUAGCGGUGAAAUGCUUA
rnacentral:rRNA from 1 species